rnacentral:rRNA from 1 species
AAUGGAGGAAACUCUGAACCAGCCAUCCCGCGUGUAGGAAGAAGGCCCUCUGGGUUGUAAACUACUUUUAUCUGGGAAGAAAAGCCUGUAUUUAUGCGGGUCUGACGGUACCAGAGGAAUAAGCACCGGCUAACUCCGUGCCAGCAGCCGCGGUAAUACGGAGGGUGCAAGCGUUAUCCGGAAUUACUGGGUUUAAAGGGUGCGUAGGCGGCGCUGUAAGUCAGGGGUGAAAGGUUCCGGCUCAACCGGAGAAUUGCCUUUGAUACUGCAGUGCUAGGAUUGGGUUGAGGUUGGCGGAAUGUGACAUGUAGCGGUGAAAUGCAUAGAUAUGUCAUAGAACACCGAUUGCGAAGGCAGCCAACUGGACCUUGAUUGACGCUGAGGCACGAAAGCGUGGGGAGCAAA